rnacentral:rRNA from 1 species
UACGGGGGGGGCAAGCGUUGUUCGGAAUUACUGGGCGUAAAGGGCUCGUAGGGGGCCAACUAAGUCAGACGUGAAAUCCCUCGGCUUAACCGGGGAACUGCGUCUGAUACUGGAUGGCUUGAGUUCGGGAGAGGGAUGCGGAAUUCCAGGUGUAGCGGUGAAAUGCGCAGAUAUCAGGAAGAACACCAAUGGCGAAGGCAGCUCUCUGGGACGGUACUGACGCUGAGACGCGAAAGCGUGGGGAGCGAACAGG